AGGGAGAAAGAAAGUUAUAGGAAGAGAACUGCAGGUGAUGAAAGUCGCAGGGGAGAAUUGGGGGAUGGGACCGAUUCUAAAAGGCGGUACGUAGAUGGUGACAGACGUGACACAAGAGAUGAACCAAGUUAUAGAAAUUAUGAUUGCCACAGAGGCAGGAGGGAAGGGCGAGAAUAUAGAUAUCAAGGCAGAGAAAGUGGUGAUGAUCAUGAUACAAGGCAUCGAAGUGAUAGAAGGAGAUGAAGACUUGAACUUGGUUUUGGAGUUUCUUAUCAGUUAUUCUGAUGACUGCAUCACUCUUAAACCAUUAAAUUU
rnacentral:misc_RNA from 1 species